rnacentral:tRNA from 1 species
GGGGUUGUGGCUCAGUGGUAGAGCAAUUGCCUAGCAUGCAUAAGGCACUGGGUUCAAUCCCUAGCACCA